rnacentral:rRNA from 1 species
GACGAACGCUGGCGGCGUGCUUAACACAUGCAAGUCGAACGGUGAAGGGAUCAGCUUGCUGGUUCUGUGUGAGUGGCGCACGUGUGAGUAACACGUGAGUAACCUGCCCCCUUCUUCUGGAUAACCGCGUGAAAGUGUGUCUAAUACGGUAUUCUCUGGGUCUGUCGUGUGAUGUGGCUGGGAAGGAUAUUGUUUCGGUGGGUGAUGUGGUCGCGGCCUAUCAGCUUGUUGGUGGGGUGAUGGCCUACCAAGGCGGUGACGGGUAGCCGGCCUGAGAGGGUGGACGGUCACACUGGGACUGAGACACGGCGCAGACUACUACGGGAGGAAGCAGUGGGGAAUAUUGCACAAUGGGCGCAAGCCUGAUGCAGCGACGCCGCGUGAGGGAGGGAGGCCUUCGGGUUGUAAACCUCUUUCGCCAGUGAAGCAGGCCUGCUACUUGUGGGUGGGUUGACGGUAGCUGGAUAAGAAGCGCCGGCUAACUACGUG